AGCUACACGACUGGCGGAACGCAGCCUGCUGCAGUGGAGAUUACCCACAGGGAGUGUAGAAUAGUGAAAGCCGACCGCCUGGGCACC
rnacentral:ncRNA from 1 species